CCCUUCUAAGAAGGCCAAUUUCUGGCAGAGGCGGGGGCGCCGCUUCGGGAGCGCGGGCAGUUCUAGGAGGCCGACCAGGAGAGCCUCCCGGUUCCCCUUCCCCUUUUCUUGGACCCCGCGGGGACACCCCCUCGCCGCCACCCGGGCCUCCCCGAGUGCCCGAUUGCGGGUCCAGGCGGCCCAGGCCAGUCAAAAGGGAAGUGGGGUUACCCCACAGCCAGGCCACGGGGCUGGGGUCAGACCCGGGAGCCGGAGGUUGGAGACGUGCGACAGUCACCUGCGAGCAGUGUUACGUGGCUGCAUGACCAUACACUUCUGGACAGAGCCCAGUGGAAGACAAGGAAGACUCAAGGAAUAGCCCUUGAGAGACCACAACCUGCUUUCUUCUAGAGUAGUUUUUGGUUUUCCCUGCAGGGCUCAGGAGGGUGUGAGUGCUGGGAAGCGCCAUCCAUGAGAUUACGAGGCCUGUUAAUCUGAAGACAAAGGGAAUGAAGACAAAAAAGUUUCUGGAAAUGUGGGCAGAGACACCUGGGCCUUUACAGGGCACACUCCAGAGCUGUUUCCAGGCAGGGACCCCAGCAGAGAGAAGCCGGAGCUGGGACGCAGUCUUGCUUGCUCUUAUCUUCCCUCCGCUGGGGGGUCGAGGGGAGAUCGGGCCCCUCUGCUCUGCCCUCCUGAUUUCCCGUCUAAGGGAUUUAGGAGACUCUCGCCUUUUCCUAAUCUCUCCCUUUGCAGAAUUUCUGCGAAGUCACAAUCCCAUUUCCAGGCAAAGGUGCUUGGUCAUAAAGAUAAUAAAGAUAUUCAUUCAUGAUGGAGGGGAAGUACACAGUGGUUUCAGCCGCCUGUAGGGCUCCACUUACUCAUGGUGUGUGACAGAUGCUGAACCCUUCCCCAAAUCUCAUGGAUGGGAAGGAAACCUGGCGCCACGGGGUGGUCGCGGGAAGCCGUGGCAUGGCUUGGUGAACACAGGCUUGCCAGCCCGGGGGCGGAUGCUGAGGUUGCCAUUGUUGGUGGCUGCAUCUGCAGCUAGAUGGGUCAGGAUGCCGGCCUCAGACCACAGCGUUGCUAAAUGCCAAACCCAAGGUCUCCCUGUCUUUAACACUGCUGGGCAUUCUACAGCACGAGGAGGCAGCUGGGGCUGUACUGCCCAGGGCCUGCCUUUGGCUGUGCGUCUUCUGUCUGUGAGCUAGCCUGCCACACCUGGGAAUACACGGUGGGGAAAUCAAUCAGCUUCUCUCCCUUCUAGAGCUGCAGGUCUGGCAUUGGUGUCUAGAGGCAAGGGGAGGAGGGAGGGAGGCCUCUUCCUUUCUGUCGCCCUUUCUCUUGGCCAAUUUGGAGGAGAUGGUGGGGGAACUGUCUCUCAUCUGACCUCCUGGAAGCCCUGCCUGCUGCUCCAGUGUGGCUCUCCCAGGGCUGAGGCCUGGAACCUAGGGCUGGGCUACCUGGAGUGCUCAGCUCUGCCACACGCCAGCCCUCCUGGGCUGCAGCCCUGGCUUUUUUCUUACCCACUGGGAUGGCC